GAAUUUUCGGCAAUGGGGGGAACCCUGACCGAGCAAUGCCGCGUGAAUUAUGAAGGUCUUCGGAUCGUAAGAUUCUGUUAUUGGGAAAGAAAGGUAUAACUAGGAAAUGAGUUAUAUUUGACGGUACCUGAUUAGAAAGCCCCGGCUAACUAUGUGCCAGCAGCCGCGGUAAUACAUAGGGGGCGAGCGUUAUCCGGAAUUAUUGGGCGUAAAGAGUGCGUAGGCGGUCUAUUAAGUCUGACGUGAAAUCCCACAGCUUAACUGUGGAGGGUCGUUGGAAACUGGUAGACUUGAGUACAGUAGAGGUAAGUGGAAUUCCAAGUGGAGCGGUGGAAUGCGUAGAUAUUUGGAGGAACACCAGUGGCGAAGGCGGCUUACUGGGCUGGAACUGACGCUGAGGCACGAAAGCGUGGGGAGCAAACAG
rnacentral:rRNA from 1 species